CUACACGGGUUUCUAAUCCCGUUUGCUCCCCUGGCUUUCGUGUCUCAGCGUCAGCACACCCCCAGCGAGCUGUUUUCACCAUUGGCGUUCCAAAUGAUAUCUACGCAUUUCACCGCUCCACCAUUUGUUCCGCUCGCCCCUAGGUGGCUCAAGACCUCCAGUAUACCAAGCAGUUCCACGGUUGAGCCGUGGGAUUUCACAAGGUACUUAGAGAUCCGCCUACACACGCUUUAAGCCCAGUGAUUCCGCCUAACGCUCGGCACCUCUGUCUUACCGCGGCUGCUGGCAC
rnacentral:rRNA from 1 species